GAGUUUGAUCGUGGCUCAGGAUGAACGCUGGCGGCGUGCCUAACACAUGCAAGUCGAACGAAGCACUGAAAAACGGAGAUUCGUCGAAGUUUUUCUUUGACUUAGUGGCGGACGGGUGAGUAAUGUAUGAGCAACCUGCCUUUCAGUGGGGGACAACAGUUGGAAACGACUGCUAAUACCGCAUGAAGUCAUACUGGGGCAUCCCUGAAUGACCAAAGGAUUUAUUCGCUGAAAGAUGGGCUCAUAUCUGAUUAGCUUG
rnacentral:rRNA from 1 species